rnacentral:rRNA from 1 species
UACGAAGGGGGCUAGCGUUGCUCGGAAUUACUGGGCGUAAAGCGCACGUAGGCGGAUUGUUAAGUCGGGGGUGAAAUCCUGGAGCUCAACUCCAGAACUGCCUUCGAUACUGGGAGUCUCGAGUUCGGGAGAGGUGAGUGGAACUGCGAGUGUAGAGGUGAAAUUCGUAGAUAUUCGCAAGAACACCAGUGGCGAAGGCGGCGCACUGGCCCGAUACUGACGCUGAUGUGCGAAAGCGUGGGGAGCAAACAGG